rnacentral:rRNA from 1 species
UGGGGAAUAUUGCACAAUGGGCGCAAGCCUGAUGCAGCCAUGCCGCGUGUAUGAAGAAGGCCUUCGGGUUGUAAAGCACUUUCAGCGGGGAGGAAGGCGUUAAGGUUAAUAACCUUGGCAAUUGACGUUACCGACAGAAGAAGCACCGGCUAACUCCGUGCCAGCAGCCGCGGUAAUACGGAGGGUGCAAGCGUUAAUCGGAAUUACUGGGCGUAAAGCGCACGCAGGCGGUUGAUUGAGUCAGAUGUGAAAUCCUCGGGCUUAACCCGGGAAUUGCAUCUGAUACUGGUCAGCUAGAGUCUUGUAGAGGGGGGUAGAAUUCCAUGUGUAGCGGUGAAAUGCGUAGAGAUGUGGAGGAAUACCGGUGGCGAAGGCGGCCCCCUGGACAAAGACUGACGCUCAGGUGCGAAAGCGUGGGGAGCAAACAGG